UACGUAGGGUGCAAGCGUUGUCCGGAAUUAUUGGGCGUAACGAGCUCGUAGGCGGUCUGUCGCGUCGGCUGUGAAAUCCCGGAGCUCAACUCCGGGUCUGCAGUCGAUACGGGCAAACUGGAGUACUGCAGGGGAGACUGGAAUUCACGGUGUAGCAGUGAAAUGCGUAGAUAUCGUGAGGAACACCAGAGGCGAAGGCGGCUACCUGGACAAUUGCUGACGCUCAGGUGCGAAAGCCAGGGGAGCGAACAGG
rnacentral:rRNA from 1 species